GCCAGCAGCCAUAUCGCCCUGCAACUCACAACUGGCAGCCCACUGAAGCCAAGCAGAUCUGAGCCUGGUCAGUACCUGGAUAGGAGACCUCCUGGGAAAAACUAAGGUUGCUGCUGGAA
rfam:Lepisosteus oculatus linkage group LG10, whole genome shotgun sequence.